ACCAAAGAUUUAUUCGUCAGUUACACCGUAACGUCCCUAUUGCAUUCAAAUACUAGGGCUGCGUUAGGAUGCCAGAUCGUAGAUGAGUGUGAAGGUGUGCAGAGGGGAAGAGGCAAAUUGCAGGGAGAGAGAUGGAUAGCUUUUGUUACGCUACGGUACUCCCUCGGCAGCGUCCAACAGCUUGCUUAAUGUUUCGUCGGAGUCCAUGUGGCAUUUAUAGUUCAAAGAAUCUGUAUGGCUAAAGGUGACCGCACUCUUCAGUUCUAAAUUGGCAAGAAAGUGACCUUUCUCUUCCUACUUAUAAGACAACGGUGGCAUCACUAUUAAUUCAUUAUUCAGCACUUCAACAAGUGGUCUUUUCGAAUUGUCUUAUAUGCCUCGUGGAAAAGUCUUGCUGUAUUUCAGAAAGUAGUUUUGUUUUAGCUCGUGACUACACAUUGAUUUCAAAUUGUGUGGCUGGUUGAUAGUUUGAUAUGCAAAUUAUUUUCUAAAUAUUAGUUUAAUAUAAGGAAUUAGUGUACUUUAAAAGGAUAAAUAUUUUUCCUUAAUAUAAUUAU